rnacentral:lncRNA from 1 species
AGGUAUCUAAGAAUAUAGUUUACAGCAUCCAUGUGCUCACUCUUUGGUCAUUCAUGAACUGGCUAACCACACUCACAGCAAAAGCUAUGUCAGGUCGAGUGUGUGCCAGGUAUAUCAGCUUAGCUAUGUCAGGUCGAGUGUGUGCCAGGUAUAUCAGCUUUCCUACCAGCUGUUGGUAUCUUCCCUUGUCUACUUUUUCCCCGUUUUCUGCUACACUGAACUUCAUGUUCGACUGCAUUGGGGUAUCUGCUGGUUUGCACCCUGUCAUACCAGUUUCCUCUAGCAAAUCUAGGAUGUACUUUCUCUGGGAUAUAGAAAGUCCUUUGCUCGAUCUGGCCACCUCCAUUCCGAGGA